ACGGCUCAGUAACACGUGGACAACCUACCCUCGAGACGGGUAUAAACCCGGGAAACUGGGUAUAAUCCCCGAUAGUUCUCGAAUGCUGGAAUGCAUCGAGGACGAAAGCUCCGGCGCUUGAGGAUGGGUCUGCGGCCUAUCAGGUAGUAGUGGGUGUAAUGUACCUACUAGCCAACAACGGGUACGGGUUGUGAGAGCAAGAGCCCGGAGAUGGAUUCUGAGACAUGAAUCCAGGCCCUACGGGGCGCAGCAGGCGCGAAAACUUUACAAUGCGGGAAACCGUGAUAAGGGGACACCGAGUGCCAGCAUCAUAUGCUGGCUGUCCAGGUGUGUAAAAUACACCUGUCAGCAAGGGCCGGGCAAGACCGGUGCCAGCCGCCGCGGUAACACCGGCGGCCCGAGUGGUGAUCGUGAUUAUUGGGUCUAAAGGGUCCGUAGCCGGUUUGGUCAGUCCUCCGGGAAAUCUGACGGCUCAACCGUUAGGCUUUCGGGGGAUACUGCCAGGCUUGGAACCGGGAGAGGUAAGAGGUACUACAGGGGUAGGAGUGAAAUCUUGUAAUCCCUGUGAGACCACCUGUGGCGAAGGCGUCUUACCAGAACGGGUUCGACGGUGAGGGACGAAAGCUGGGGGCACGAACCGGAUUAGAUACCCGGGUAGUCCCAGCCGUAAACGAUGCUCGCUAGGUGUCAGGCAUGGCGCGACCGUGUCUGGUGCCGCAGGGAAGCCGUGAAGCGAGCCACCUGGGAAGUACGGCCGCAAGGCUGAAACUUAAAGGAAUUGGCGGGGGAG
rnacentral:rRNA from 1 species